rnacentral:rRNA from 1 species
UACAGAGGGUGCAAGCGUUAAUCGGAAUUACUGGGCGUAAAGCGCACGUAGGUAGCUGGGUAAGUUGGAUGUGAAAUCCCCGGGCUUAACUUGGGAAUUGCAUUCAAGACUGCCUUGCUAGAGUGUGGAAGAGGGAAGCGGAAUUCCAGGUGUAGCGGUGAAAUGCGUAGAUAUCUGGAGGAACAUCAGUGGCGAAGGCGGCUUCCUGGUCCAACACUGACACUGAGGUGCGAAAGCGUGGGGAGCAAACAGG